GAAAAUUUAGUUAAAUAAAAUAACAUUAAUUUGUCAAAUUAAAAUUAUUAUCAAUAAUAAUUUUCU
rnacentral:tRNA from 1 species